UGAGGAAUAUUGGUCAAUGGCCGAGAGGCUGAACCAGCCAAGUCGCGUGAGGGAAGAAUGUCCUAUGGAUUGUAAACCUCUUUUGUCAGGGAGCAAAGUCACCCACGUGUGGGUGUUGGAGAGUACCUGAAGAAAAAGCAUCGGCUAACUCCGUGCCAGCAGCCGCGGUAAUACGGAGGAUGCGAGCGUUAUCCGGAUUUAUUGGGUUUAAAGGGUGCGUAGGCGGGUUAUCAAGUCAGCGGUAAAAUCGUGGAGCUCAACUCCAUCCAGCCGUUGAAACCGAUGAUCUUGAGUGGGCGAGAAGUAUGCGGAAUGCGUGGUGUAGCGGUGAAAUGCAUAGAUAUCACGCAGAACUCCGAUUGCGAAGGCAGCAUACCGGCGCCCGACUGACGCUGAAGCACGAAAGCGUGGGUAUCGAACAGG
rnacentral:rRNA from 1 species